rnacentral:rRNA from 1 species
GCGAGUAGAAAGAAUUAGAUUCUUUGCGAACUGCUCAGUAACACGUGGACAAUUUGCCCUAUGCUCCGGAAUAACCUCGGGAAACUGAGAAUAAUACCGGAUAGGUCACAACGCCUGGAACGGUGUGUGGUUCAAAGGUCACGGCAUAGGAUGGGUCUGCGGCGUAUCAGGUCGUAGGGGGUGUAAAGGACCUCCUAGCCAUCGACGCGUACGGGUGUUGGGAGACAUAGCCCGGAGAUGGAUUCUGAGACACGAAUCCAGACCCUACGGGGUGCAGCAGGCGCGAAAACUUCACACUGCAGGAAACUGUGAUGAGGGAACUCCAAGUGCGCGCACUUAUGUGUGCGCUUUUCUUGACUAUUAAUCGGUCUUGGAAUAAGGGCUGGGAAAGACCGGUGCCAGCCGCCGCGGUAAUACCGGCAGUUCAAGUGGUCGUCGCUUUUAUUGGGCCUAAAACGUCCGUAGCCUGUUUGGUAAAUCUGUGGGUAAAUCAACCAGCUUAACUGGUUGAAUUCUGCAGAGACUGCCAGACUAGGGACCGGGAGAGGUGUGGGGUACUCUAGGGGUAGGGGUAAAAUCCUGUCAUCCUUAGAGGACCACCAGUUGCGAAGGCGCCACACUGGAACGGAUCCGACGGUCAGGGACGAAGCCUAGGGGCACGAACCGGAUUAGAUACCCGGGUAGUCCUAGGUGUAAACGCUGUGAACUUGGUGUCGGGAGUCCGCAAUGGGCCCCCGGUGCCGGAGUGAAGAUGUUAAGUU